UCAUGGGCGAUGGCCUGAACCAGCCAAGUAGCGUGAAGGAUGACUGCCCUAUGNCAANGUAAACUUCNUNUAUAAAGGAAUAAAGUCGGGUAUGCAUACCCGUUUGCAUGUACUUUAUGAAUAAGGAUCGGCUAACUCCGUGCCAGCAGCCGCGGUAAUACGGAGGAUCCGAGCGUUAUCCGGAUUUAUUGGGUUUAAAGGGAGCGUAGAUGGAUGUUUAAGUCAGUUGUGAAAGUUUGCGGCUCAACCGUAAAAUUGCAGUUGAUACUGGAUGUCUUGAGUGCAGUUGAGGCAGGCGGAAUUCGUGGUGUAGCGGUGAAAUGCUUAGAUAUCACGAAGAACUCCGAUUGCGAAGGCAGCCUGCUAAGCUGCAACUGACAUUGAGGCUCGAAAGUGUGGGUAUCAAACAGGAUUAGAUACCCUGGUAGUCCAAGGGCGAAUUC
rnacentral:rRNA from 1 species